ACAAUCUAGCUUUCGAGGCUUGUUUUAAGUUGCCUGCGACUGUAUUUGAACACAGGCAGCUAAAGCAAGUCUGGUAUGCCAGAGACACAC
rnacentral:miRNA from 10 species